GGGAGCGCGGGGCGGAACGGAGCGGAGGGACGGGAACGGAGCACGGCGGUUGGGACGGCGCGGCCUCGGCGGGGCCACGCGGCGGGGACUGGGCCCAGGAGGCCGGGGCGGUGCGGACGUGUCCUGGGCCUCCGCUGGGGCCUUGUGGUGGUUGGUGUGCGGGUGUAACGGGGCCUGAGCUCGGCGCUUUUUGUCCCUUCACCCCCCCAUUUCCUGACAGCAGGAAGAGGUCACCGAGUAUCUCCGGGAGGAGGAGGAGGAGGGGAGCUGCCUUGUGUGUGUGCAUUCCCCACCGGGGAGCAGCUCCCCACGUCACGGGUUUAUUGCUGCAUCCCACAGAGUGGUUCAGUAGUUGGUAGCAGUGUCUCCUUUCUCCUGUUUUUUAUUCUCUCUUGUUGGUUCUGAACGAUAUUUGUGCGUUUUUAGCCUUCCUCCCUGCAGGAUCAGGGCGCUCCGUUCGAAUGUGUUUGCAGCGGUGCUGACGGGCACUCAGAUCCAGGCUGGAAGGAAGAGAGCACUCGGUACAGGCACCCCGUGCUGCUGUGUGAUGGAGGCUGAGCUGGGAAUGGCAAGGACAGCAGAGCAGACAGCAGAGCGAGUGCUACGAGACACGUGCCUGCCCAGCUCGAGUGGCUGAGGGUCUAUUAGAAUCCCCUAAAAUUAGGGAGACGUGGAGGAUUUUGUGUUGGUUUGAGGUUGGAUUCGCUAGUUCUGGUUCUUGGGGUUCUAUCAAGGCACAACUGUGGGGUGGGGGGAAGGAAGCACAGUAGGCACCACGCUGCUGUUCUGGAUCUGUUUGGGCUGAAACCAAUGCUUGGCUGAGCGAUGUCAGCGUUUGAGUUGGCUAAAAUUAGGGAGAGACGGAAGGUUUCGUGUUGGGUUGGGGUUGGAUUUCGCUGGCUGUGGUUCUUGGGGUUCUCCCAAGACACGGGACAAGAAACAAGGAGGAGGUGGGCACCACACUUGUAGUCAUUGUGAGGCUUUCCUUGUUCCAAGCAGCCCAGGGAGGGGUUGUUGCUUUCAAGUGGCUUUGCUAUUAGACAACAAAGUUCAGCUCUUGGUGUUUUGUGUUUUCAACUACUUUAGAGCGAACCAAAUGCUGUCCCCAGAGGCUGGAGAGACAUGUGAUGUUUGGUGUCAUUGUGCUGCAGGUCGGUUGUAGGACACCUUUGCUUCUCACCUAAAACCAUCCCUAUUCAUUACAGUUAUGGGUUGCUUGGAGAAGCCAGAGCCAUUUGCUUAACAGCUUUGUUACAGAAGUGCUCCUCGUGGAACAGUCUCAUUGCGGAGGGUUUUGGGGGUGAUUAUUCUAGGUUGAAAGCCAUCAGGAGGCAUUGGGGUGUUUGUACUUUGUGCUGGAUGCAGGUGGGAGCUGUUGGGGUAGGAUCUGGAUGGCUGGCGAGGUGAUACCUUGAGUGUGUGCUGAUGGAGUCUUGAUGGUAACAGAGAGGUUCUGGUGAGCUGACACCGGGGCGUUUGCUUGGCUAAUGGGAUCCAGGUUCUCAUAAGCAGCACUGGCAGCCCCUUCAUGAUUCUAAGAAGCCCAGUCUUGGCGUCUUAGAAUCAUGAAGUGGUUUGGGUUGGAAGGGACACCUCGUUCAGAAGCAGAAAGCCCCCACACUGCUGCUUUGCUCUCUCUUACAGGUGUAGGCAUCACCAAGGUGAAGUCAGCUCCUCUUGGGGUGAUGCUGUCCUCAGUCUCUGGAGGCAGACGCUGUGAAGCUGGUGGCACUUGGGGACAGAGGACACUAGUCCAGGUGGUUUGGCAGGGCCAGGGUUUGUUGUUUGCACGCCGGAACGGUUUUAUCAGUGUACCUGAAAUGAAUCCAAGCAGGCUGAAAUUUCAGGGUUUUAUUGUGGCUGUUGCUAUGUCACAGUUGUAGACGCUCAGGCCUUUGGCUGUUUGUGGGCAGAAAGAGCAGUGAAUGGUGAUGGUCUUUUUCAACCUUAAUGAUUCUACUUUGGGACAUGAUUGGUUUGGGGUUUUUUUGCUUCCCAUAGGCAGGAGGGUUCUAUUUUCUGCUUCUCUCUGGGGAGAACAGUCGGUGACCUCUGUAAUCUCAGUGCUGGGCAGAUGCUGCUGGCAGGCAAAGGGGGAAAAUGUGGUUAAAUAUCCCAGCAUAGGUCUUCGAAUGUGCUGUAAUCCGUCAGGGAGCUGAUAGUGGAGCUUGGGUUUACACCUGCAUUUCCUUUAUGGAGGAGACUCAUUAUGGUCUCAUGGGGUGGAAAAUUGAGAGUAGUGAAGGAGGAGCUUUGGUUUUGUUGUCUGGGUGUGGGAGAGAAGCGACGUGCUUGUGAAUUAAUAGGUUAUGUGUGCAUCUGAAAAGCCAGCUUAUUGAUGGAAAAGUGCUUUCUGAGUGUUCAGAUUUACUGCUUUCAGCUGCUUACAGGCCUGAAGGGACAGCAGGAGUGCCCAUACAGUGAUAGAACCAUACAGUCAACAUCCCAAGCUGGAAGGGACCUGUGGGAUCACCAGACCCUGCUCAAGGCUCCGUGCAGCACCACCUAUGUCUGAGAGUGGUGUCCCAUUGCUCCCUGAGCUCCAGCGGGUCAUAGCAUCAUAGACUGGACCACAAUGAUCAUCUCCCUGCUGUGUGUGGGAUGGGAUGGAGACCUGCAGCCUUGGGAUAUUCUGCUGCAAAGGUGUGAAACAGGGAGCAGCAGCAGCUGCAGGCUACCCAGCAGUACAUCUCUAUUUCAAAAUAGCCCCGUGCACACGUGUGGAUAAUUAAAAGCUCUGUGUUUACUAUGCAGGUGCACUGGGAUAUAAGCUCAGCUCCUGUGCGUACUGCAGCUAGUUGACAGCUCAGGGAGGAGACCCACAACCCUGGUCUUGGAUUAAAAGGACUUUGAGGUCAAAGAAAAGCAUACUUAAAAUGAAUACGUGACGUCACCGUCGCUGCGAUGUCCUGUGUCGGAGAAUGUUAGUGGAGUGCUAAAUAUAUCAUCCUUGUGCGUGUGUCGGACAGAGGCAGGGACUGCAAAUCGUGGUAAGGAAUCAUAGAAUGGCUUGGGUUGGAAAGGACCCCAAAGAUCAUCAAUUUCCAACCCCGCUGCUGUUUAUCUGCUCUGCCUUGUGUUUGUCAUUGCCACAGCAACCUCCUGUGAUGCUGCUGGCAGUGGGAGCCAUCGGAGAGCUGCAGGUUAUGGCCAUCAUUCCUUCUCUACACUGGGUUCAGGUUAUUCCCAACAGUUUGAUUUACAGCCUUCAGUCCUUCAGGAGUUGGUUUUCCUUUUCUUUUAUUGAACUGAUGGCCCUUCAUAGUGGCUUUCAAAUGUGUCUUUUGCUGCUGGCUUAACCUGCUGGGCAGGUUUUGUCGUAGAAGAUUAAGCUUCACCUGUAGUGGCCUAGGAGAUAAAUGUAAGGAUUCCCAGUUGGAAUGUCCACUUGAGCUUGUCUCAUAUAUGGCAGUAUUUUAGCUAUACCACGGAAACAACAGGGCUACAGGGCAAGAGAUGUGAUUUCUACCCUUUGGAUCCCAUUUGGAAGCAGAAGACGUCGCUUGAGAGAGGCUGUUGCUCUGGAUCUGAUGGUUGAUGAGAAGACACCCAGUGUAUGAUGGGAUGGAGAAUGGUGGAGAUAGGAGGGCUGGAGCUGAUGUGGCUUUUAAAUGCAAGGAAAAUGAGCAAUGUGGGACACAUUGUGGCAAGGGCAGCUAUUUUUCCUGCAGAACACGAUUGCUGCUGUGUGAGGUUAGGGACAUCUGCACGCUGGAAAGCACCUCCUCGUCAUAUUUGGUUCUAGUUUGAGGUGAGCACAGAUGUUUAGCCAGGAGAAGAGGCACAUGUUGGUUCUGGGAUGCAGGAGAGCAAUAAAGUGAUGGAUUUCCACUCUAACAUCCACAGGUGGCAUUUCUCUGCCUGCACCAGCAUGUUGGCAGCACUGAUGUUUCCAUCUGAUGAAGUUACACCGGCAAAGUUUGGUGCUCAGGGACCUUCCAGCACUAUCAGCAGAGCCACUGCACCAUUAUCCUGCUGCAGACACCCAAAAGAGGCAGAAUUGCACCCAUGCUGGCAACCUCAGGUGGGGAUGGGAUGGUUUAGGUAGAGACCUGAUGACUUCAGGUAGGGAUGGAUGCACUCACCCUGCUCAGCUCCCUGACAGUAAAGUGCACGCAUACGAAGCAGCAUCUGGAUGCCUGCAAAUACCUACUUGGCUUCUGUGAGCCCUCCAGUGGGGGAAAGAGGAAGAGAAGGAGGAGGAGGAGGAGGAGCGGGAGUAGGAGCCCCUGCUGGUGGGGCUGCCCCAGGAGCUGCCCUUCUAGGGGAGGGGCCGCCCUUCCUUUCUGUUUCUUCCUCCCCUUUUAGCACACAGCACUCAUUGCUCAGGUGCAGUGGAGCUGCUCGCUCAGUGCUGAGCCCUGCAUGGUGCCCAUGCUGCUGACUCCAUGAUGCCAGCCAACAUUGAAGCCGGUAGCAGUGAGUGUAAGUGACAGGAAAAGUGGUUCGUGCCUCUGACCCCGUGCAGCAGCAUCCAAACAGAAAGAAACCAGUACAAAACUGCAGUCACAGCAUCGUGGAAGCAGUAAGA